rnacentral:misc_RNA from 1 species
AUCAAACUUUCCCGAGUGUGGUUUUAUUCAAAUGACAACUAAAUAAAAACUAAACUGAACGUCAGCAAUAGCCAACUGUCCUUGGAAAAUGAAAUUUUAAAGAAACUUCUCACUCGGGCAGGAACUAGCUAAUAUUUAACUAUCCUUGCAUUAUCGGAUUCGUUCAUUUCUUUCUUCAACCCUUUCAAGGCAGCUUUAGGUCGUUCUUGGAAGCAUUUACCGAGGGAAUUAGUGCGUGCGUGACAUCACCUCUUCGGCUGGCGCACGCCCAAUGUAGCCCGAAAAUCGCUCCUAGCCAAUCCCCGCUAAGAACGCUCGAACAACACGACAUUUGCCGCCAGAGCACGAGCGCCACUCUGCCGGCACGCCGAAGACUUCAGUCAAUACUGAAGCUUCAAUGGGCGAGUCGACUAAUAGCAGGAAGGGGGUGUACAGUGUAGGGCGAGACGAAAAAAAAACCAAGAGCGAACCGGUUCCUUCUUCCUAAAACUUCGUAAAACUGAACCUCCCACUAUCGGAGGACAGGCAGUAGUCGCCCGUGUCGCGCACCGGAUACGAGAUAGCGUGCGGAACCCGUUAUUGGCAGACAGCAGCAGGCUAACUGCACCAGAAGAGAAGGAGUGGCAACAAGCUGUAGUCGUCAUUGUGUGAGUUGUGUUUUAACGUGAAAGUUUGUAGUUGUUUUUCUCGGUGUUUAUCUUCGACUUGUUUUCAUCAAUUUCCAUGUUACAGACAUCGAACUGACUGUAGACCUUAGUUUUUCCCUUCAUCCGCUGCGAACUGGUACAACAUGGUAAAAAUGACAAGAGUCCAGUGAUGCAAAACUAAAAUGUCCAUAGAAACUUCACAACUUUCCAAUAUUUGUGCUUCUUCGCCGGCCGACUCGGUGGGGUAACGCUACGGUUGUUAUUAAGAGGAUGGAAAGUCGGUCCGACUUCUCGCUCGAACGAUCACGGCUGUUGGGCGGCGCGGGACUUCACGCAGCCCAUGGCUUUCCCGUAGAUGCUCCAUCGCCGCACCCGACUCCUCUACGAGCCGCAUUUCUUGAUAUGAAUCGAACGGGCGCAGCUACAGACCCAGCGUCUCUCUCAGCGUACCACAGUCGUUUUCUCCAGGCCACUCUGCCAUUAGGCAACAAUGGGACCAGUUAUUCUUACCUGAGUGGCAUAUACAGCAGUAAUUUUCCUUCUCAGUCCACCUCAACAUUCAGAGCGCCACCUACAGGAAUAAUAAUGAGGCAGUUUUGGCCCCCUACACCCCCACCAGAUAAUUAUAGCAGGUAUGCCAUGGGUAGUAGCCUCUACACAAUGUUCCCACCUCUUGUCCCAUCUACAGACCCUAACCCUUACUCCAGUCAAGGUUACAUUUCUCGGUUGGGUCAAUCCCCUGCACACUACAGUUCCCUUCUAGAAGCUACACACAAAGAACCCACGUACUUAUCUCCAGGUUUAGCUCUUGCUUCUCCUCUAACACUGACCAAUCAUGUGGGUCACACUACUCCCGUACCUUCUCUUACUCCGGCUCUUGACCGCCAUCCAGGAUUCAGUCACCUGGGGCUAGGGAUGAAAGGGUUGGAAGUUGGGAGGCGCUCUCUGAUGGUGGAGGAUGAUUUCCGAAGGGUUGAACGAGGAGCAGAAGAACUUGAGGGAUUCCUGAAGCGAGAAUCAUCAAGUAUUAGUUGUCAUCACAAUGCUGAACGAGCAAGACUUGGUCUAACUGGUUUAGACUCUCAUGUAAGAGCUGUUGAAAAACAAUCCAAUUCAUCCACUAUUCUUGGGUCACGGGAAAAAUUACCUGAGAGCAGGAAUAAACAACGUGAGGAAAGACUCAAAGAAAGACAACAAUGCUCUGAACCAGAAACACAUCAUUUGGAAGGUAGGCUGGCAAAUGGAAACAUACCACAAGUUAAAGGAGCUAAACCCAGCAAAUCUCGAAGUGUAACAUUAAGGAGUGAAGCUGAUAAAAUUAGCAAGGAAAAGAAAUGUUCUUGGUGCUCAGCAAGUUUAAAUGACAAUACAGAAGUUGUUGAAAACCCUCACUGCAUAACAAAACAAGUAACUAAGAUAAAAAGCACAAAUCGUCAGGAGUUUAGGGAAGAACCUGUGUCUGUUGCCCAGAGAAUAGUUUCUGCCUCAUGUGUCACUACAGCUCUUGGCACAUCUAGUGACACUGUAGCAACCACAACAGUGACAUUCACAGGACACCGUGCAACAUCAUCUCUGGCUACUUCAGACAAACCUCCACAUCAAGGGGCAGCAAACACUACUGUUGUGUCUUCACCAUGCCAUGUGACCAUCACACCACAUGUUACAACGUUGCCCCUACCUUGUUCAGUGCCUGUUGACAAUUUAAGGUUAUCAAUAAACUCUUCACAGAUGAAAGAAAAAGCAAGGGUUACUAGCCUUCCAAGUAAUAAUCAAAGUCAUGUUUCUCAAACUGCACAAUCCCAAAGCAAGCCAGAGUCUGAAAAUGACACAUUGAGUCUAUCAAACAGCCAGGAAAAUCAGAUAGCAGACUUAACACAUCAGUGUUAUGAAACAGUUCAGAUAGUCCAUCCACAAGUUCGUGAAGGUCGAAGUGGGCAGAAUAGCUCACUGUCUAGUCAGAAAAGCAAACUAACAGCUGCUGAAGUCAAACAAAAAUCUCUGGUAGACCCAUUGAGUAGGUCUUGUUCUGUGGCUUUGUCCUCAGAAGCUACUUCAUAUUCAUUGACGAGUGAAAAUUCCCCAAUAGUAACAAGUGAACAGAAGAACCACAAAUCUUCUGUCUUACCAACUGGAAUUCACAUAAAGCAAGAAAGGAUGGAUGGGGAGGAGUACUGUUCAAUGAAUAAAUUGUACAGUUAUUGUGGAAAUUCAAGUGCACUAAGAAAUGACAUGACCGAAGAAGACCAUGGUGUCAUCAACUUAAGUAUCCCACGCCGAGUACCUAAACAGGAACCGUCAGACUUUGCCUUACCUUGCCAAAUGUUAUCAGAAUCUAUGCCAAGGAUUGGAUUAUCUCCAGAAAAUGUUCAGCCGGACUUUGUGUCAUCUCAUAGCCUCACAGCAUUAGCAAACAUUGCUAGUGGGUCUUCAUCUGUGACAAAAUCACCACUACAAAAAAAUGAUUUGGUUCAUGUGACCAACCAGACAGGAGAAAAACCAAAACCUACUGGAAAGAUCCAACAAUCCAUGGUAUCAUUAAGAUUUCAGUUGGCGAGUAACCCAGAAGUCACUUCUGCCUUCUCUCAGGUGACAACAUCUUUAUCUGCUUCCCAGACACCAGUCUCCUGUAAUGUCCAGUCAAUGCCAUCCAGCCAAACUGGCUCAACAAGCCAACAAGCUGUGCCUAUUUCUUCCAAAGGAUCUAAUUUUUUUGAUGCCAUUACAACUGUUGGAAGUAUUACACACCACCAUAGAAUAUCCUCUACAAAAUCUUGUACUUCUGUGGCUGGAUCUAUUUCUUUGCCACCUUCUACUGGUGUUUGCCCAUCUGUUAGUUCUUGUCCAUCUACCUGUAGUUCCACAACGUCAUCCUUUCCUUCCACUGUGAACUCGAAUAUCCCAGUUGGAAUAGCAGUGGCUCAACAGAGACAGGUUCUUACAACAACUUCAGGCAUUAAAGGUGGACCACCGUUUUUACCAAAUACUAGUCGAAACAGAUCAUUAGUUGUUUCUUCUACAUCAGCUGGAAAUUCAGAUAAUUAUGUUCCAGAAAAAGAAGGGUUCCUCCAGGGGUCAAAAGAGCUGUCUUCGGGCCCAGACAUACAGCAACAUUCUACUGAACUAAACUUGAAUAAUACUACCACGUGUAUAUUGGGUCAAGAUGUAAAUCCACCAGUUACCCACUGGGAACAGGACUCUAUUGUGCACACUCCAUUACCACAACAAUGGGUUACCCCAAGCCCUGUGGUGGGGCCUACAGUAUGGCUUAGUCAGAAUAUGUACAAUCCCACUCCAGCUCCACAGCCCCCACCUCCAACUGCUGUACCUUAUCCUGUAGACCCGUCUCAUGUUCCCAUACCACCUGGUGGAUAUCAAGUUUACAGAGAUCCACUUACUAAUCAGAUUUUUCUUCUACCAACAACAAACAUCGAAAUUGUAGAUCGAGCUGGUAUUUGGACAGAUUACACAGCUCCCCCUUGUGGCACACCAGUACAGCAGGUAUUUGCAACUCAACCACAAGCCCCACCAUUCCAAUCUCAAGUCAUGCAAGAGGAAAACCAGCUGAAACAUCAGACAGCUCAAAGCCAAAAUCUGUCUGUGUCCAACAACUGCUUUUCCACAAGAGAGGACUCGGAAGGGGAGGAGAGAGAUGAAUCAACAAAAAAUGUCUACCAAGAUGAACACAUUAAGGAUAAGACAGAAGAAAAAUUAUGCAGUGACGCCUCUCAACCUCUUGGUUCCUGCUCAACAGUUCCUUACCCAGCAUUCCCUCAGCCUAGUGCUCCAGCUGCUCUUUCAUAUUUUUAUGAAGCCUCCACUAUCGUUCAUCUUACCCAAACCCAGUCAACAACUGCCAUACAGACUGAGCCAGGAAAGCGUUCGCAGGGAACUUCUCCAAUGAAUCCUGUUACCCCAUCACCUCCUAUACCGUCAGAUUCUGAUCAAGGUGUCCAAGCAUCAUGUGAUGAUGGAGAAGACAGUGGAGAGAAUGAUGAAGAUGGAGAGGAAGAAGUUAGUCAAGAUACAAACGAAGUGGAACAACAUAGUCAUACUAUCAGUGUUACAGCAGCAAUCCAAGUAGAUAUGGAUUGUCAGACAAAUUCAGAUGAUACUGAUGUAGAAGAACGUGCUGUGGAGGUCAUUGAUUCUGCUAACCAAACCGACAGUCUUUUAAUGGGUGUAGUCAAGGAUUGUUCUACGAGUGGUGAAGAUGAAUCAUGUGAUAUCCCUCGGACUGCGACACCUUCUCUUACAGAAAUUGCUUCUGUUGCUGAUAACGAUGAUUCAGAAAGUCAAUUAGUCCAGAAACCUGUUUCUAUUGAUGCUGAGAUUUUUGAAGGAGACUCUACACCAGUGCUAUCAGCAGAAAGCCAACCAGUAAUGGAUUUCAUUGAUCACCAUGGAUUAAACCUCUUGGUCGAUAGCAUUGAAGAGUUUGCUUCACGUGUACAAGAAGAGAAUAAUACAGAGAUGGGCAGGCUACAGAUAGACAGUUCAGGUGAUGACUAUAGUACAGUAGGAGGAGAAGCUGGGAAUAUAAAUGUUAUAGUCAAUGACAAUGUGAAGCCAACAAGGGAUUCUGUGUAUUCAAACUCAGACUCUUUGUCAAGAAACAUUGACCCAUCUUGUACUGAUGGUUUAGGAUUGCUCUGUGCUCUCGCAGAACAAAGAUUUUUGGAAGAGUCUAUGAGUUCACAGGUCCCAGAGACAGGGUUGAACUUGAGUUUAAAACAUGAACAGGGAGAUGACAUUGACCAAACUUAUGAAGAAUCCAAUAAACAUAACAAGAGUCAUAACUCUAAAAGCCCUUCACAAGUGUAUGCUUUCAGCAGCAACUCAUCGUCACCAUUUUAUACUUUAGGCAGUCCAUUACAUGCUGGCAACAUUCCCGAAACAAUGGAUGCUGCUGAAUUGGAGAUGAAGCUACAGUUAGCAGAAUUGCAAAAGAAGUACAAAUUAAAACAAAGAGAACUGGCCAAACUACAACCAAAAAAAGAAAAAGAAGAACCAGAAUUAUUUCCUAUUAAAAGACGACCAGGACGUCCACGGAAAAGACAAUUCAUGCUACUAAAACCAAAGAACUUAAAGACCUCUCCCAUAUCUUUUGGAGAUAGCUCUUCUGAAUAUGUUCCAGAACUUUAUUCCUCAACACCAGCUGCUCUUUCUGUCCAACCAUCCACCUUUCCUGAGUCCAUUAUACCUGAUGUACUUCCUUCUACAGAGACUUCUUUUGAACCAUCAGAGCCACUUAGGAAGAAGAAAAAGAAACAUUCUGCCUUAAGAAACAGAACUAGUGUAGAAAGAAGUCAGACAGCAAAAAAGUCCAAGCAAAACAAACUGUCUACAAAGGGUCGCUCUAGCGAACUGAUUAUGAAAAAGAAAGCAAACACCAAAGUGAAAAAAUCAAAUUUGAAAUUACAAAUGGGAAAAGUAUCUGAAACAUUUUCUGAACAUCAGACAGAAAAGACCCAGUUAUCACCCACAAGCCAAGAAGAACAUAACCUUGUAAAUGAUUGUAGAGUCCCUAACCUUGUAACUGAUUGUAGAUCCCUCAAGACAGAUGAAACCUUGGAAAAUAUAGGUGCUUCGACACCAGAUGACACUGCUACUAAAUCACUGAAACAAAAGAAUAAAACUGAAACAAAAACUACAGAGAGUGAACCAGGAAAAGAAGACUUUUCGAAACAGAGAACAGAGUCACCCAGUAACAAGCAAGGAUCUUUUAAGCUACAAUCAUCAAAAGUAAAAAAGAAUCAAAAUAAAAGAUCGAUCGAAAAUAAGAAUCCAUUUCUUAUGUCAAAACAGGAAUCUUUAUCAAGUGAUUCAAAUGUUACAGAAGAUCCACAUGAACAAUUUGUGGCACAAGUAAACAUUUCCCCUACCACACCUGAAAAAGACACCAAAAGGAAGUUGGAGCUAGGUGAGAGUGAAUGUAACACUUCUGAUACAGAGGUCUCUUCAGCCAAAAAACGAAAGCCUGGCAGGCCCAAGAAACAUUCUUUAUCUAAAUCAGAUGAGGCGACAGAAACCAUUGUUCCCAAACAACCAAAGAAGCUAGCUUUUCUGAAGGCUGAAGCAAAGAGAGUUAAAAAUUCACUAAGUAGAACAAAGAACUGUGUUGAAUUAGAAUCGGUAACAUCAUUCUUUGAGGAAGAUAUCUGGUUUCGUCGCCGCAGUGAGAGAAUUUUUCUUCAUGAUGCUGGAGUUGUUCCUGGAGCCAUUUCUCUCUGGCAAGGAGAAAGUUUAAAUACUUCAGUUGCAAAUGACAAGAACUUAUCAACAACUGAAACCAAAAAAUCUGAGGCACAAACAGAAAGCAAGUCUGAAACAACAUCAAAAAUUCAUAGAAACAUUAACAAAUCUGGAGAGGUUUCUCAUAAGAAGAAAACAAAGAUUAGAAAAGAUCCAGAGUCAACAAGCAAAAAACUUAAAACUAAAACAAAGGAGUCAAAGAGACAGCAAACAAAGGAAAAGUUGGUUCCGGAUGAACUGUUUGCUGCUUUAAAGAAGUGUCGGCUUAGUGAAAGUAACCAAGGAGGGGUAACUCCUCGUCAUUCAACGGAUCAGGAAAAUGCUGAAAGUAGUGAAGGCGAUAAUCUUCCUUUGAGUGUUUUGAUUGAGAAAACAUCUAAUCCAGUAAUAAGAUCCUGCAUCCUGCAACCAGAAGAGCUAGAUGAUCAGCUUCGAGUUUUAACAAUGGAUAACGGACUAUUUUAUGCAGGAACCAUUAAAGCUAUUCGUGCUCCUGAUGUAUAUGGUAUAACCAGAGAUGGAGAACGAGGUAACAGACCUCACAUUUAUUCCCGGGAGGAAAUUUUAAAUGAAGCUAUUGUUGAGGUGAAGCCAAAUUCCCUAAAUAACCUACCAGAGGGUCAGAGGGUCUGUGCAUUCUGGAGUCAGCAAUAUCGAUGCAUGUAUCCUGGAACUGUAGCUAAAUCAUCCAGUCCAAACUGUGAUUCGGAUCAAGACACGGUGUACGUAGAAUUUGAUGAUGGAGAUUCUGGCCGAAUACCUUUGAAAGACAUAUGUAUGCUUCCACCAGAUUAUCCAAUCGUGUGUAAGUUUACAACAGUUGAUUCCAAUCCUCUAAUGCUGCUUGGAAAACGUAGACAGCACAGACUUUCAGGGGAAAGUGUCACAGACAGUUCGGUUAAUGCAUUGGCUCCCAGUGGAGAAAAAGUUAAAACAAAAAAGAAUAAAAAUAAAUCAAAGUCAGGAAAAAAAAAAAGUUGCAGCUCACGAGGCCAGAAUACCCAAGACCAUUCACAAUUAAAUGAUGUAUUUCAUUCAGAAAAUAUCUCGUCGUUGUCAUCUGUCAUCAGUACAGUUGAAUCACAAAGUACACUCUACACUGUAGAUACACUUUCCAUUACAGCAACAAGAAGCAUGAAAUCUUCUUCAGGGAAGGAAAAGGAGAAAAACUCCCAGAAAAAGAAAUCAAAGAAAAGCAAAAGUGAAUCCAAGAGCAAAGUAAAAGAUAAAUCAAGAGAAAAGGAAUCACAUCACAUUGGCAGUUCAUCCGAAGCAAGUGUGUGUGGUCCUCCGUCACUAAAAUCAAGAAAGCACAAAAAACAUAAAGAUGAUCAUAAACGUCGGCAUCGCCACCAUCAUCACCAUUGUCAUCAUCAUCACCAUCAUAAAAAACACAAGCACGAAAAACGAAGCCACCCAAGCAGCCCUGAACAUUCCCAUUCUCCAUCCUCAUCGAGCAGCGAUGCCAAUACACCAAAUGUUAUACCAACAACUGUUGAACAGAGCACUAAAAGUGGAGAAGAAAGAACUCAAAAAUCACCACAAGCAGAAACACCCAGCUCUAGUACAGAAAAUAAGAAGUCACAGCUGAUGGUGAAGAUAAGAACGAAUUCCACAGACAUUUCUCAAGAAGACAAGAAAGAAAAGAAUGAGAAGGAAACAAACAAAAAUGCUGAUCCAGAAUCUUCCUCAGUUAGUAGCAGUGAUAGCUCAGAGAGUUUAAACAUUACUGAUGAGGAAGAGACAACAAAAACACUUUGUGCCAUUGAAGAGAAAUCUCAGAAUAAGAAAGUGAAGACUAAGAAAUCCAAUGAAAAGAAAAAGCGAAAAGAUCGUCUCCCCUCAGUUGAAAAAAGUAAAAUAGCAGCAACUCUGGCGGUGGGCUGGGAAAAGUUUCCGACGAGCCAACACUAAAGGAAAGGCAAAGAAAGAGUUUUUCAAGGCCAUCACCAGGGGGAAAGAGACAAUAAAGGUUGGCGACUGUGCUGUAUUCCUGUCCACAGGAAGACCCCAUCUACCAUAUAUUGGAAGAAUCGAGACCAUGUGGCAGUCGUGGGGAGGCAACAUGGUGGUGAAGGUGAAAUGGUUUUAUCACCCAGAAGAAAC